UCGACUCCAGCAACUCCGGCUUCGGCAGAAUUCUGCACCAACCAUAAUCAUUAAUUAUUUUUUUAAAUUUUUAUUAAAAAAUCGAUCAUAAAAUCAAUUGAUAAUUAUUUUUAAUUUUUUAAUUAAUUUAUCGAUUGUAAUAUCGAUCGCUAAUUUUAUUAAAAUAUUUUUUGUUAAUAAAAUCAAUCAUAAAAUUGGUAGCUAAUUAUUUUUAAAUUUUUUAAUUAAAAAAUUGAUC
rnacentral:lncRNA from 1 species